rnacentral:rRNA from 1 species
CCUACGGGGGGCUGCAGUGGGGAAUAUUGCACAAUGGGGGAAACCCUGAUGCAGCAACGCCGCGUGAGCGAAGAAGGCCUUCGGGUCGUAAAGCUCUGUCCUAAGGGAAGAAGCAUGACGGUACCUUAGGAGGAAGCCACGGCUAACUACGUGCCAGCAGCCGCGGUAAUACGUAGGUGGCAAGCGUUGUCCGGAAUUAUUGGGCGUAAAGGAUGCGUAGGCGGCCCUUUAAGUGGGGUGUGAAAUCCCUGGGCUCAACCCAGGAAUUGCACUCCAAACUGUAGGGCUUGAGUGCAGGAGAGGAGAGCGGAAUUCCUAGUGUAGCGGUGAAAUGCGUAGAUAUUAGGAGGAACACCAGUGGCGAAGGCGGCUCUCUGGACUGCAACUGACGCUGAGGCACGAAAGCGUGGGGAGCGAACAGGAUUAGAUACCCGAGUAGUC